rnacentral:rRNA from 1 species
UACGUAGGGGGCUAGCGUUAUCCGGAAUUAUUGGGCGUAAAGGGCUCGUAGGCGGUCCAUCGCGUCGGGAGUGAAAAGCUGGGGCUCAACCCCAGUCCUGCUUCCGAUACGGGUGGACUAGAGGUAGGCAGGGGAGAACGGAAUUCCUGGUGUAGCGGUGAAAUGCGCAGAUAUCAGGAGGAACACCGGUGGCGAAGGCGGCGCGCUGGACCACUACUGACGCUGAGGAACGAAAGCUAGGGGAGCAAACAGG